UGCGGGCCGUGUCCCGGCGCCAUCCCGUCAGUGUCGGCGCGGUGCGGCGAGGGCAGGGCCGGGUUGUGCCGGGCCGGGCAGGGCCGUGCCGGGCAUGGCGGAGAAGAAGCAGCCGGUGGACCUGGGGCUCCUGGAGGAGGACGACGAGUUCGAGGAGUUCCCGGCGGAAGAUUGGACUGGUUUAGAUGAAGAUGAAGAUGCACAUGUCUGGGAAGACAACUGGGAUGAUGACAAUGUAGAAGAUGAUUUCUCCAAUCAGUUAAGAGCUGAAUUAGAAAAACAUGGAUACAAGAUGGAAACCUCGUAGUUUUUGCUGAUAUGGAGCAAACGUUGAACUGUGGAUAGACUAUAUUGAGAAAAGAUGGAAAGUGAGAAGACAGUUCAUUAUCUGCUUGGAUUUAUUAUUGUUUUGUAUGAAAAAUAAAGUUUUUAAUCUUAGCCAAAGUCAUAUGUUCAGCCUCUGCUAAACUGGUAACCUGUAUUUUGGUUCUUAAAUGCUUUGUGUGACAGUUCACAGAGAAUGCUACUAGAGAUCUAUCAGUGGCUGACGUUAUUGCACCAGCUCCGGUGAUGGGGAAUUAAAUAAGCACGACUACAAUGCAAACUAUUGAACAUCUCUGUCAUAAGUGAUGUGGAGUCUUUAAAAAAAAUACUCAUGAAAGAAAUAAAAUACUUCUGUGUUCCAGUUAAAAUGCAGCAGAGGUAGAAAGGACUUUAGGGAGUAAAGUAAUAAAGCUCAUUUUGCCUUAAGGUUUUAUUUCAUAAUGGUUUGGGUUUUUUUUGUUAGCAAUUUAAUGUGGAUACCAGUUUGAUCGUUUUGAAGAUAAAACCCACUUUUAAAGUGUGUCUUACAACAGCAGAAAUCCAAAUUCUACAAUUUUGUCCUGUCAUUUCUCAACUCUGGUAAAGAAGAGACCUCUGUGGAGGUGAGAAAAGUUCUCUUAUGCUUAUUUAAUCCUAGGAAUCUCUGCUGAAAUUGCCUCCAAUUUGCCAGUUACAGCAGUUCAUCUGUAUCACACAAAUGCCUGCUGAGAACGGAAAUCAAACUUCCAACUCAUUUCAUGGAGGCCAACAAAUAGUUGCCAGAUAGAUACAAUGGUAGUGACUGGAUUCGAUUACUCUGAACUAGCAAACAGAAGGUGGAAAUUACAAAACCUAUUACCAAUUCCAUGAAUCCUCCCCAAAGGAGCUGUUAAAGCUGGUGUAUGCAAAGACAUAGGGAGAUACGGCAAUUCUGGAAAUGUAGGCCAUGAUUGCGAAUAAAGUCUUUUUUGUAAUAAAGGGACAAAUACAGCUGUGUACAUACGGAACUCAGAUUUGCUUUUACAAUUCAUUGCAGAGGAGCCGGAUUUUUUUCUAAGUGAGUUUUCAGAAUAAAGGUAUUAGGUGAUGGA